rnacentral:rRNA from 1 species
ACGGGAGGCAGCAGUAGGGAAUCUUCCACAAUGGACGCAAGUCUGAUGGAGCAACGCCGCGUGAGUGAAGAAGGCUUUCGGGUCGUAAAACUCUGUUGUUGGAGAAGAAUGGUCGGCAGAGUAACUGUUGCCGGCGUGACGGUAUCCAACCAGAAAGCCACGGCUAACUACGUGCCAGCAGCCGCGGUAAUACGUAGGUGGCAAGCGUUAUCCGGAUUUAUUGGGCGUAAAGCGAGCGCAGGCGGUUUUUUAAGUCUG